rfam:Gossypium arboreum cultivar AKA8401 contig_7402_1, whole genome shotgun sequence.
UGUCAAAAAAUUCAUCUAUUUGUAUUGUUAAAAACUAGCAUGGUUGAUGGAAUAAUCAGAUAGUGACACGUGGUAUGCCACAUGUACCUCAUGUUGAUGUACAAUAUCUAAUUUUUAACAAAAUGGUCAAUUUGCUA